rnacentral:misc_RNA from 1 species
GCUAAACUCAACAACCAAAUCAAAAUUUAUCGUUUGUCCAUAUCUCCAUCUCCAAAAAUGGAAUUUGCGGCUUCAAUUCUUGAAACCAGAAAAGCAAUUCAUCACUUUCCAUUCCAUAUAUUUGCAGCCAAUAUUAUAUAUUAAAUAAAUGGUUACGACUUAGUUCCUAUAAUUUAAAACAUAGAUUAAAAGUUUCUCACUUAUGAUUCCAUAUUCAAUAAUUUAGUUUAUUCAUCCAU